rnacentral:lncRNA from 1 species
CUCCACUGCCAAGUUAAAUCUUCGGAAGAAAAUGAAAGAUAAUUAUCAUUUUAUAUUACAUGAAAAUUAAUGAUAUCAUCAACACUUACAAGUUCUUUCACAAGAAGUUAACCCCUUGCAGUGCUUUAAUUUGAAGUAAAAGUCUAUUUUAAGCAUUUGCCUUCUGUUGGUGAAUAACUUGUUUUCAUCCAUGUGAGGAUAUGACAGAGGCAGAAACAGUCAGUCAGGAUUUUUUCUA